UAACCCCUCUGUAUAUCACUCUGACAAUAAAUAAAUCAAUUUAAAAAACUGAAAAUAAACAGCCACAUGGAUUUUAAAAGAGAAAUUAUUAAUGUACACAUGUAUCAUUCUUGUGGAAAGCAUACAAUAUUUUUAUCUCAAA